rnacentral:sRNA from 1 species
AAAAAGUUGUAGACAACAUCGAAGCAUAAAUGGACUUAUGAAGAAGAAAAAACAUUGAUUGAGUUGUUUGAUCAUGCAAUUUCCAUGAAUAAUUAUACUCUUAAAGAUCCUACGCCUCUCGGUCGAGAAUACAUGGUUGAGAAAUUUAACCUAGCAUUUAACAUGAAUAUAAAUUAUUUGUUUUUCAAAAACAAACUUGAUGAGUUCAAAAAAGCAUAUAAAAGAUGGAAAUUUCUAAUGACUUCUACCGGUGUCUCGGUUGAUUCUGAAACAUCCAUGAUUUCUGCAUCUGACUCGUGGUGGAAGGGUCAUGAAUUGGUAAUUACUUAUAACCAUUCUAUUCUUACUACUAAUAUUAACACAUACAUAUAUUAUAAUAAAUAAUAUGUAUGAGUUUUACAGGGAUGCAAAAUAACUACUAAGUUCAAACGAUAACCAGCAGAGUUUUGGGAUGUAAUGCAACGAUGUUUUAGAUUGCAUGAUGUUUCUUCCCAAUCACAACAUUCUUCACGACAAAGACAAGAAGAGCUAAUGAACCAGAGACGAGCUGAUGAUGCCAUUCAUGGUUACUCGGAUGGUGGUGACAUGCCUGAGACCAAUGUUCCCGAGAUCGAAGAAAAUGAAAAAAAUUAUCGUAUUAACAUCGAUGAUGAUACACAUCCUUCGAAUGAGUUCACUCGUGACACAUUCCGUGUUCCUGUUGGAAGAGGUGAACAACAAAGCAGACUGAAUUUUAAUUCUAGUGUAAGGCGCGGAAGUGGUUCUCAAAGAUCUGAAGGAAGUUCAAAAGCAAAAAAUUUUGGAAGUAGGUCCAGAGGAAACUGUGGAAGACAAUCUUUUGAAACAACUAUACAAGACACCAUCGCUGGCUAUACUGAGUAUCAACGACAAAGUUUGCAACAACUUCGGCCUGGUAGUUUUGAUCAAGAAGAUUACGAUGAAUUCAAAAAAGCAUAAGCUAUAUUCCUUGCCUUGGAACUUCCAAGGAAUACCAAAUUUCAUUGGGCAUGCAUUGAUACAUUUAAACAGCUAAAAUUUUGGCGAAAGUAUUUCCUUGACAUAGUUGGAGGCACUAACGAGGAAAAAAUACAAUUGUUAGAAGCCAUGACUAGUGUUUCUCGGAACAACCAAGACUUGUCGAAGAGGUUGGGCUCUGGACAUUCUUAUGGCAGUCCAAAUUCAGGAGGCCCAAGUUUUCAGCAAUGGGAAACACCACCAAAUGUUUCACAAUGGGGAACACCACCAAGUACUCAACAAUGGGAAACACCACCUAGUAUACAACAAUGGGGCACACCACCAAAUGCUAAACAUUGAGAAACAUCACCAAAUACUUAACGUUUGGGAACACCACCAAAUGCUCAACAAUGGGGGACACAAGCAAAUGCUUCCCAAUGGAACACACCACCGAACAAUCAACAUUGGGGGACACAAUCAAGCGCUUCCCAAUGGAACACACCACCAAACAAUCAACAUUGGGGGACACAAUCAAAUGCUCCCCAAUGGAAUACUCCACCAAAUGCUCAACACUGGGGCACACAAGCAAAUGAUUCCACUGGGGUACAUCACCAAAUGUUCCACAAUGGGGCACCCAACCAACAGCUUCACAAUGGAGUUCACCACGAAAUGAUCCACAAUGGAAUUCAUCACCAAAUGCUUCACAUUGGGGUCUUUUACCAAACUUUCAAUCUUGGGGUUCACCAUCAAAUGUUCAACAAGGGCGUAAUACACCAAAUUUUCAAUAAGGAAGCUCAUCUGCAACAACUCCAACAAAUAUUUAGUAAUGGUUUUCAGUGGGAAGUCAAGAAGAUAAUAUAAGGGAUAUUCAUCAAGAAAGAUUGGAAAGACCUAGACGAGGAGGUCUGUUUAAUAUAUGGGGAACCUCGAAGAGAGUAAAUGCAAGUACAAACGAGGAUAAUCAAAUUGAUUUAGAAGACGAAAAUUAAUUUUUUCUAUAGAUUAUUAUUCUCGUUUAUGUUAAAAAUAUUCGGCUUUUCUUAGUUUCUAUGCAUUUGGUGUAAUUGUAUAAUGUAAGUUCACUUAUGGCUAAAAACAUUUUUACUAUUUUAUAAAAUUUCAGGUUUUCCGUAUAUGUCAGUUGCGAUCACAAGGAAUCCAUAUUCUAACUUAUAAAGAAAGACUUGAAUUGUGGAAAUUAGAAAAUGAGCAAUUUAAGGAGUUAAUAAUCCAGCCAACUUUGAGUUACUAUGAUCGAUAUUUUCAAAGAGCACCAGCGCAAACCGAUGGAGGUUUAGGAUGGAGAAAUAUUUGGCAUCGACUACAACAAGAUGAUGCUGCUUGUCUUCAGUUAUUACGAAUGUCACUCACAGCAUUUACAACAUUGUGCAGUCUGCUACAAACAAAUUACGGUCUACAACCAACACUAAAUAUAAGCAUUGAGGAAUGUGUGGCUAUGUUUUUACGAAUAUGUGGGCAUAAUGAAGUUCAAAGAGAUGUUGGUUUGAGAUUUGGGCGAAAUCAAGAGACCGUGAAGAGAAAAUUUGGAGAAGUUCUUACGGCAACUGAAUUACUAGCAUGUGAUUAUAUUAGAACUCCAAAAACUCAAGAUCUACAUCGAAAUCUUGAGAUACUUCAAGUAGAUCGAAGAAAUUGACCAUAUUUUAGUGGAUUUGUUGGAGCUAUGGAUGGGACUUAUGUUUGUGUAAAAAAGUGAAGCCUGAAUUACAAGGAAUAUAUUGGAAUCGACACGAUAAUGCAUCUUUGAACAUCAUGGCAAUAUGUGAUUUGAAUAUGUUCUUCACAUAUAUUUGGAAUGGAGCACCGAGAUCAUGUCACGACAAAUCUGUUCUAACAAUGGCACAACGAAGUGAUUCUGAUUUUCCCUUGCCUCCGCUAGAAAAGUACUACGUCGUUGAUUCUGGCUAUCCAAACGGACAUGAAUUUUUGGCUCCUUACAGAUCAUCAAGAGGUGGAAUUGUGAGGUAUCAUAUGUCGCAGUUCUAUUCUGGACCACCUCCAAGAAAUAAAAAAGAAUUAUUUAAUCGAUGUCAUGUGUCAUUACGUUCAGUAAUCGAGAGAACUUUUGGAGUUUGGAAGAAGAAAUGGAUAAUUCUUUGUGAUUUCCCAAGAUAUAGUAUUCAAGUACAAAAGAGAAUGGUAAUGACUACAAUGGGAUUACACAAUUUUUUCAAAAUUUCAAAUUUUUUAGAAGUAAUGACAGAGGCUAGAAUUAACAAUACAGAUUGGGAGCCUGAAAUAAAUGAUAUGGAAGCAAAUGAAGUAGCAGAUGGAGAAUUUAUGACACAAAUAAGAGACAAUAUUGCAGAUAUGUUGUGGGCAAAUAAAAAUACUCGUUAAUAUUAUUUUGCUUGUGUUUUUGAUAAUUAUUGUUUCCCUUAAUUUCUGAAAUAAAUUUAUUUUUAUAAAAUUCUAAACUCAAAUAUUUAAAUUAACGUAUAUUUAAGGUUUGUAAUAAAAUAUAAAAUUUUUUGGUAAUUUAACACAAAACUAUAACUUUUAUAAUAAUAAUAUCACUAAUCUAUUUUUAUUUUCAA